GUAAAAGUCGUAACAAGGUCUCCGUUGGUGAACCAGCGGAGGGAUCAUUACCGAGUUUACAACUCCCAAACCCCUGUGAACAUACCUUAUGUUGCCUCGGCGGAUCAGCCCGCGCCCCGUAAAA
rnacentral:rRNA from 1 species